CCUACGGGUGGCAGCAGUGGGGAAUAUUGGACAAUGGGGGCAACCCUGAUCCAGCCAUGCCGCGUGUGUGAAGAAGGCCCUCGGGUUGUAAAGCACUUUCAGUGAGGAAGAACGCCUAGUGGUUAAUACCCAUCAGGAAAGACAUCACUCACAGAAGAAGCACCGGCUAACUCCGUGCCAGCAGCCGCGGUAAUACGGAGGGUGCGAGCGUUAAUCGGAAUUACUGGGCGUAAAGCGCGCGUAGGUGGCUUGAUAAGCCGGUUGUGAAAGCCCCGGGCUCAACCUGGGAACGGCAUCCGGAACUGUCAAGCUAGAGUGCAGGAGAGGAAGGUAGAAUUCCCGGUGUAGCGGUGAAAUGCGUAGAGAUCGGGAGGAAUACCAGUGGCGAAGGCGGCCUUCUGGACUGACACUGACACUGAGGUGCGAAAGCGUGGGUAGCAAACAGGAUUAGAUACCCCUGUAGUC
rnacentral:rRNA from 1 species